rnacentral:rRNA from 1 species
CAGUCGCCACGGUAAUACGAAGGGGGCUAGCGUUGUUCGGAAUUACUGGGCGUAAAGCGCACGUAGGCUGACAUUUAAGUCAGGGGUGAAAUCCCGGGGCUCAACCUCGGAACUGCCUUUGAUACUGGGUGUCUUGAGUGUGGAAGAGGUAAGUGGAAUUGCGAGUGUAGAGGUGAAAUUCGUAGAUAUUCGCAGGAACACCAGUGGCGAAGGCGGCUUACUGGUCCACAACUGACGCUGAGGUGCGAAAGCGUGGGGAGCAAACAGGAUUAGAUACCCCAGUAGUCCCUGUCUCUUAUAC